AUCUAAAUAGUUUAAUAAAAAUAUUAAUUUGUGGAAUUAGUGAUAUAUAAUUAUAUAUUUUAGGUA
rnacentral:tRNA from 1 species